CAAGAAACAGAGGCCUCGUUGCUCAAUUGCCCUCUCUGACCACGAACACAGAAAUAUCAAGGGUAUAACAAAAGAUACCGCUUCUCAUCAAAGUUGCCUUAUGUGAUAUAAAGAGAAUCUGGAAAAUCCCCUAUGGAAGAUCCUUGUUGUUGUUACAAGAAGUUAGGACUCAUCAUCUUCUUUGGCAUCAUUUGUAUUGCACCUUGGUGACAAGGAGAUUUGGCCCUGAUACCAUCCUCCAAAUUCAGGCAAGUGGCUUUGGCACACCUAAAAGCAUGUCUCCAGAUAUUUUCACCCUGAGAAGGUGACUCGUGGUCCUACAGCAGCAGAAGUGGCAAGGAAGGCCCCAGCAUUUCCCAGGAGAAGCGGGUUGGACCCACUGAGCAAGUCCCGCUGUAGGGUAUGUUGGGAUGCUGCCUGGAAAUGUGAACCAUGAAAAAGCUGUCCUUGGUGGCCAAGUCGUGUCCUGCAUACAAACAGUGGCACUCAGACCCUCUGUUUGGUGCUAAUUUGCAUUACAGAGGAAGCUGCGUCAUUCAGGGUGGAAAGAAAAAGCAAAUCAGCUCUUUUUAAUGCUGGUGAACCACCAACGAGCUGCCCACCUUUUAUUUACUGUAAGGCUGGAGUUCUAUGUGGCAGCACAAUUGUGUAUCUCUGCACAAUUACAGCACUGCCUCUCCUCACUGCAGACAAAGAAGGGAAGGCAUUCACUUGCUCCUGCCUGAAAGCUGCCUUCAGCUAUUCGUGAAACCAUAGAUACAUCUGCUUGGACCGUCCAAUCCCCGGUGCUUCCCCCGGAGGGGGAAUAUCCAGACAUUGUCAUUUCAGCACAAGAAGCUGGAUGCAUUUAUUAAUCAACCUUUUUGCUGAGUGGAAGUCUGGCUGCUCUCUCCUACCAUAGUCUAAAUCCCUCAGUCUGCUUCUAUUACAAGACUUACACAAAAGAACAUUUUCUUCCACUCUUUCUUACAGAAAUGGGAAGACCUGAAUGCUUUUCUUUUUCUCUUCCCUGGGUCUUCUUUUGACUGACUGGGAUUUUUCACGGCUGUAUCAGAAAGUUGGACAUCCCCCUUUGUUUCGGAAGCAUUUGGUGAUGGAUCACAUUUUAAUUGGCGUUGAGGUUUACAGAAAAAGGGAGCACCACAGGAAGUUAUUAGAAUAACAACACUACGCAUCUGCACAGGAAUUAAAACUGCAAAUGUAGGGGGCAUAUUAAUUGCUACCAAAUGCUUUGUUUUUCUCCUCCUCGAAAAGCCCAGCUCAACAAAAGCCUUAUUAUUAUUAUUAUUAUUAUUGGUGUGUAUUUUUCAUGUCUUUCUGUCCCAGUAAAAUGUAAGUGAUUAGAUUUGUGGGAUUUUAGCCUCAUGUAUAAGAUUUCCUAUAUAGCAUGGUUCAGAAUAUUUACAAAGGAGAUGAACACAUUUGUUCUGACAAGGAAGAUACUGAUGGCUGCAGACAGAUACAGCUCAUCCAACACUGUUGUUCCCACAGUGAGAGUCUGAGCAUGGUCUGUGCUAGUUUGUGCCAAAGAUGGUCAAAAUGUUUUGCCUGUGCUCUUUGAUUUUUCCCCAUGAAAUCACUGAUAUGUUGUCACAGAGCCAUAAUUCAAGUUGCUGUUGAAAUGAGAAGUAAUACAGAGAUUGUUAGGAGUUUAAG
ensembl:lncRNA